UCGAGUUCCCAACUCAAACUCUGAUGUUAGAGAAAAAACCUACUCUGUGGUUUUUCUUCGAGCAACGGCACAGAGGAAGCAACGGUGCAGAAGAAGAAAAAAGCCCUUUGUUCGAAGAAGGUAUUGAAUCUCACUACCGAGUGAAAACGAGGCAAGAGAAAUUUAAAGGGUCUUGAAGUAUAUAUCGAUUAGCCUUUUCAUUGGUUCCUUUGUUUUGAAAGAUGAAUUUCAUGGUUGAUGCAAUCUAGAAUAUGGUGGGAGCUGGAUUUUAUAUUUUUUUAUUUUCUAGUG